GGGCGGUUAGCUCAGCUGGUAGAGCACACGCUUGACGUGCGUGGGGUCAGAGGUUCGAGUCCUCUACCGCCCACCA
rnacentral:tRNA from 1 species